CCUACGGGGGGCUGCAGUGAGGAAUAUUGCGCAAUGGAGGCAACUCUGACGCAGCCAUGCCGCGUGCAGGAAGAAGGCGCUACGCGUUGUAAACUGCUUUUAUCCGGGAAGAAACCCUCAUACGUGUAUGGGGUUGACGGUACCGGAGGAAUAAGCACCGGCUAACUUCGUGCCAGCAGCCGCGGUAAUACGAAGGGUGCAAGCGUUAUCCGGAUUCAUUGGGUUUAAAGGGUGCGUAGGCGGGGUGAUAAGUCAGUGGUGAAAUCUUGCGGCUC
rnacentral:rRNA from 1 species